UUAAAUACUUUAAAAAAUUUCUUAAAAGUUUUCUUUUGCAAAAUUAUUAUUAUAUUUUUAAUUUAUUAGUUAAGAAGUCUUUCACAUCCAAAUGUAAGUGACACUACAUGUACAAUACUGAAUUCUAAAUCUAAAAAUAUACAUUUUGUUAUCUUAAGUAAUAUAUAUAUUUUUUUAAUAUGUAUAUUAUUCUUUCCACCUCUGCUCUAGCUUGGUUCCUUGUAAUAAACCUGGCAUUUUAUACUAAAUAUUGUUGGCUCUGUGACAAAUUGCAUGUUAUGUUCGUAGAUCCUUCCAUGCUGAUGGCCUCCUGCAUCCCAGCAGAGCUGAGUGACCUCCUGUCAAAGGCCGUGAACCAGAUGAACCUCAAUCAUUCAGCACACUACUGUUGAAAAGUUGUGGGUCUGUAAGAUUUUUACAUGUUUUUGAAAGAAGUCUCACAUUUUAAAAUCAUUAACCCCGGGUUGUUUUAGUGAGAUUGUCCUUGAAAGGCCUGUAGGCUAAAUAAUCAGCUAAAUGAGGUAACAUAGGUGACAAGUAUAAUGUUAUAAUGCUUGUAGUUAUAAUCAUUUAUUUAACUAUUAUAAUAACAGGAUAUCAUGGUCAUUAAUCUAUUUUAUUGUAUUUCUCUAUGUCUGUUUGUAGUUAUGUUUGCCAGUGAACAGACACCAUACUGUUCCACUAAAAGAUGAGAUGUAAUCUCUAGCGUUUGGUGCUGAGAUUCUUCAGGACAACUCCUUGAUGCCAUUCACACUCAGUACAUGAAGAAGUGAAUAUGAUUUCCUGUAGCAGCUAUGGGAGUGACGGUAAAUCGGUUAUCAAUCUCUCUCUAUUUUUUUUCAUCUUUUUGAAAGUUGUUUCUUUUACUAUUUGAGAAAAUGGGAAUACAAAAAAUAUAUUUAAUUUAUUCUCUCAUUCACUGCCAUAGACAUAGACCCAACUAUGACGACUUCCGCUUCUGAGAAACCCAAAAAUACGAAUAGGUCUGUAGUAAAAAUUAAAUUCCUCAUUUUAAGGACUUUUCAGUGAACCAUUUCUUUCCUUUUUGUAGAUUCACCAAACAUCUGGCUGAUUACUGGCAAUUUGUAAAGACAGUGGACAAUUGAAGAGAGAGGAGGGGAGGGCAUCAGAAAGGACCUUGAGCUGCUGCGACUGUCUUGGAUAACCCAAAGCACAACUACACUAUGUGUCCAAGUACUGAACAAGGCUUUUCUCCUUACAUAUUAUAUGUAUUUAAUUUAAGGCAGGGUUUUUUUUUUCCUGCAUAGUGAAUUACUAGGUGGCUCCCUGUCAAAUUUGAUGCUGUCUCCAGCUAUUAACAAAACUCAGACAGGCAGUCACAUGGUCCGAUUCCCCUUUUCCACCAACACGGUUCUGUUGCAGGAUCCUGGCCUGUGUCCAUUCUCAAACUGUUCCACGAACCUCCACUGCACAAAAGGCAGUUCCAGGACAGAAAUAUCGGUACCCUCACUCUUCACCAGUCAUCACAUUCACAACCACCACAGUCAACGAAGUCAAGGUCCCUGGUCCACAGCAUCAACCAUCUUUGUAGGAAGAUGAUUACUGCAUUUCUUGAUGUAUCUUUAAAAUUGACAGAUUUCUUAUGGAGUGCAAUCCCUCUCUAGAUGAACUGAGGCCCAUCGUUCUUACAAAAUACUGUCAGACACUGCAUAUGAUGUUCUCAAAAUAAUAAAUUAAUUAAUAAAAUACUUAAGAAUUUUA